rfam:Aedes aegypti strain Liverpool supercont1.361 genomic scaffold, whole genome shotgun sequence.
UGCCCAGCAACUCCUAUCUCUACCUCCUCGCGGUACUGGUCGGGGUUCGAGCAACCUUAGGGAAGAUCGGGCAACCAACACCGGUAAGAACUUUAGUCGUAUGCUGCCAGGGAAGA